GCCUACAACUAACUCCCCAAACUGAUAAUCUUGUCAAUAUUGCCAGUUUUUUAUGGCCAUUAAGUACCCGUGAUUAGGAAGGAUUGCCAUGGUCAUUGGCCAAACACACGUUUUGAUGAAAUAUAUAUGCAUCAUACGAACACCAACAUCAUGUCCAACAAUCACUACAAUCACUAUGCGACGUACAAGAUCUAAAACAAGUUAACCAACUAUUGUUAAGUUGUGGUAGUAGUCUCCUCUUCAGUCCCGAGAGACCAUGAUCAACAUCUGAUGCAGCUAGUACUUGUGUUUUUGAGAACCUGAGCAUAUCGAGGGAAAUUUUUUCACAAUCAUAAUUAACAAAAUCAGACGAUGGUUGAUAUAAUAUGAAAAAGAAUUCACAUUUAAUAUAUCAUAUAUACAAGGAAACACAUGCAUACAUUGUACAUAUUAAGAGGCACAAUAAUAUAUACAAGUAGAAUGUAGAGCUAAAUAAAGAGGAUACUAACUUGAAGUUGCUAUGAUGAGUAAAGCGAUAACAAAAUUAAGCUUAAGUGAUGCCAUGCUAUGAAUAGUAUUUCACUCUUUAUGGAAG
rnacentral:lncRNA from 1 species